UGGGGAAUAUUGGACAAUGGGGGAAACCCUGAUCCAGCGACGCCGCGUGUGUGAAGAAGGCCUGCGGGUUGUAAAGCACUUUCGGUGGGAACGAAAUAUGCCGGGCUAAUACCCCGGUAGGCUGACGUUACUCAAUGAAGAAGCACCGGCUAACUCUGUGCCAGCAGCCGCGGUAAUACAGAGGGUGCGAGCGUUAAUCGGAAUUACUGGGCGUAAAGCGCACGUAGGUGGCGACGUAAGUCGGGUGUGAAAGCCCCGGGCUCAACCUGGGAACCGCAUUCGAGACUGCGUUGCUGGAGUACGGAAGAGGAGGGCGGAAUUCCCGGUGUAGCGGUGAAAUGCGUAGAUAUCGGGAGGAACAUCAGUGGCGAAGGCGGCCCUCUGGUCCAGUACUGACACUCAAGUGCGAAAGCGUGGGGAGCAAACAGGAUUAGAUACCCGGGUAGUCCCUGAGCGGGCUGGCAAGGCGCAU
rnacentral:rRNA from 1 species